ensembl:lncRNA
CCUACCUCUAACACAACUCCUACCUACACUACAUGACCAAAACUAUGUGGACAUCUGCCAGGCAGUUAUAUAGUUACAUGGUUCUAUAGGAAACCAUAUAGAACUAGGUUAUAUAGGGAAUAGUGAUAGUAACUAGGUUAUAUAGGGAAUAGUGAUAGUAACUAGGUUAUAUAGGGAAUAGUGAUAGUAACUAGGUUAUAUAGUGAGAGUAACUAGGUUAUAUAGGGAAAAGUGAGAUUGACUAGGUUAUAUAGGGAAUAGUGAGAGAGGGUCUCUCUCCAGGAACAGGGUUGCAGUUAAAACCUACAGGAGGGUCUCUCUCCAGGAACCGGGUUGGAGUUAAAACCUACAGGAGGGUCUCUCUCCAGGAACAGGGUUGGAGUUAAAACCUACAGGAGGGUCUCUCUCCAG